AGAGUUUGAUCAUGGCUCAGGACGAACGCUGGCGGCGUGCUUAACACAUGCAAGUCGAACGGAAAGACCCUUCGGGGUACUCGAGUGGCGAACGGGUGAGUAACACGUGGGUGAUCUGCCCUGCACUUUGGGAUAAGCCUGGGAAACUGGGUCUAAUACCGAAUAGGACCACGCGCUUCAUGGUGUGUGGUGGAAAGCUUUUGCGGUGUGGGAUGGGCCCGCGGCCUAUCAGCUUGUUGGUGGGGUAAUGGCCUACCAAGGCGACGACGGGUAGCCGGCCUGAGAGGGUGACCGGCCACACUGGGACUGAGAUACGGCCCAGACUCCUACGGGAGGCAGCAGUGGGGAAUAUUGCACAAUGGGCGCAAGCCUGAUGCAGCGACGCCGCGUGAGGGAUGACGGCCUUCGGGUUGUAAACCUCUUUCACCAGGGACGAAGCGCAAGUGACGGUACCUGGAGAAGAAGCACCGGCCAACUACGUGCCAGCAGCCGCGGUAAUACGUAGGGUGCGAGCGUUGUCCGGAAUUACUGGGCGUAAAGAGCUCGUAGGUGGUUUGUCGCGUUGUUCGUGAAAACUCACAGCUUAACUGUGGGCGUGCGGGCGAUACGGGCAGACUAGAGUACUGCAGGGGAGACUGGAAUUCCUGGUGUAGCGGUGGAAUGCGCAGAUAUCAGGAGGAACACCGGUGGCGAAGGUGGGUCUCUGGGCAGUAACUGACGCUGAGGAGCGAAAGCGUGGGGAGCGAACAGGAUUAGAUACCCUGGUAGUCC
rnacentral:rRNA from 1 species